AAAGUCGUAACAAGGUUUCCGUAGGUGAACCUGCGGAAGGAUCAUUAAAGUAAUGGUGCCUUCGAGCGCCGCGGCGAAAGCCCGGCCGACUCGUUACGUACCGGUUGCAGCGUGAGCCUCAGGGUCCUGAAUCUCCCCCCCAAGGGAGAGGAAAUGGCCCCCCCCCCCCUCCUCUUAAAGGGGGGUGUGGCCACGACAGCGCCGGUUACGUUUAACCCUUUGUGAAAUACCCCAGUUGCUUCGGCAGCUCGCCACGUCCCCCUCAGCUGGGGACUGGCGGUCAGCCUGCCGACUGCACCCAUUGGAAACUCAUCAGUGAAAUUUAGCAAUAUGUACGUCUGAGCGCGAAGUCGAAUUGACUAUAAAACUUUCAACAACGGAUCUCUUGGUUCCC
rnacentral:misc_RNA from 1 species